rnacentral:rRNA from 1 species
GUGGCGAACGGGUGAGUAACGCGUGAGGAACCUGCCUCAAAGAGGGGGACAACAGUUGGAAACGACUGCUAAUACCGCAUAAGCCCACGGCUCGGCAUCGAGCAGAGGGAAAAGGAGUGAUCCGCUUUGAGAUGGCCUCGCGUCCGAUUAGCUGGUUGGUGAGGUAAUGGCCCACCAAGGCGACGAUCGGUAGCCGGACUGAGAGGUUGAACGGCCACAUUGGGACUGAGACACGGCCCAGACUCCUACGGGAGGCAGCAGUGGGGAAUAUUGCACAAUGGGGGAAACCCUGAUGCAGCGACGCCGCGUGGAGGAAGAAGGUCUUCGGAUUGUAAACUCCUGUUGUUGAGGAAGAUAAUGACGGUACUCAACAAGGAAGUGACGGCUAACUACGUGCCAGCAGCCGCGGUAAAACGUAGGUCACAAGCGUUGUCCGGAAUUACUGGGUGUAAAGGGAGCGCAGGCGGGAGGACAAGUUGGAAGUGAAAUCCAUGGGCUCAACCCAUGAACUGCUUUCAAAACUGUUUUUCUUGAGUAGUGCAGAGGUAGGCGGAAUUCCCGGUGUAGCGGUGGAAUGCGUAGAUAUCGGGAGGAACACCAGUGGCGAAGGCGGCCUACUGGGCACCAACUGACGCUGA